CGGGGACCCGCACAAGCGGUGGAUGAUGUGGUUUAAUUCGAUGCAACGCGAAAAACCUUACCCACCUUUGACAUGUACGGAACUUGCCAGAGAUGGCUUGGUGCUCGAAAGAGAACCGUAACACAGGUGCUGCAUGGCUGUCGUCAGCUCGUGUCGUGAGAUGUUGGGUUAAGUCCCGCAACGAGCGCAACCCUUGUCAUUAGUUGCUACAUUUAGUUGGGCACUCUAAUGAGACUGCCGGUGACAAACCGGAGGAAGGUGGGGAUGACGUCAAGUCCUCAUGGCCCUUAUAGGUGGGGCUACACACGUCAUACAAUGGCUGGUACAGAGGGUUGCCAACCCGCGAGGGGGAGCUAAUCCCAUAAAACCAGUCGUAGUCCGGAUCGCAGUCUGCAACUCGACUGCGUGAAGUCGGAAUCGCUAGUAAUCGCGGAUCAGAAUGUCGCGGUGAAUACGUUCCCGGGUCUUGUACACACCGCCCGUCACACCAUGGGAGCGGGUUCUGCCAGAAGUAGUUAGCCUAACCGCAAGGAGGGCGAUUACCACGGCAGGGUUCGUGACUGGGGUGAAGUCGUAACAAGGUAACCAAGGGCG
rnacentral:rRNA from 1 species